rnacentral:lncRNA from 1 species
AUUAUAUGGGUUAUAUGGGGUUAUAUGGGGAUUUAUUGGAAUAUUAUGGGAUUAUAUUGGGGAUAUAUUAUGGAUUAUAUUGGGCGUUAUACUGGGAUUAUAUGGGGAUUAUAUGGGGUUAUAUGGGAUUAUAUGGGAUUAUAUGAGAUUAUAUAGGGAUUAUAUGGACGUACAGAAUCAUAAUGGAAGAGCUGCCAUAACCAGAAACAUAGUGGAACCAUCUACACCCUGUGAGUUAUGGGAUAGAUGGCGAUUUAGAUGGAUAUAUGGGAUAUAUGGGAUUAUAUGGGAUUAUAUGGGAUUAUAUGGGAUAUAUGGGAUUAUAUGGGGUUAUAUGGGGUUAUAUGGGAUUAUAUGGGACGUACAGAUCAUAAUGGAGAGCUGCCAUAACCAGAACAUAGUGGGAACCAUCCUACACCCUAUCAUAAUGGAGAGCUGCCAUAACCAGAACAUAGUGGGAACCAUCCUACACCCUGGAGUUAUGGGAUAGAUGGGAUUAGAUGGGAUUAUAUGGAUUAUAUGGGUAUAUGCGGAUUAUAUUGGGGAUUAUAUGGGAUUAUAUUGGGAUUAUAUGGGACGUUACAGAUUCAUAAUGGGAGAGCUGCCAUAACCAGAACCUUAGUGGAACCAUCUACACCUGUGGGUUAUGUGGACCCAUAUGGAUUAUAUGGCCUAUAUGAGGUUAUAUGGGAUUAUAUGGGAUUAUAUGGGAUUAUAUGGGAUUAUAUGGGAUAUGGGACGUACAGAUCAUAAUGGAGAGCUGCCAUAACCAGAACAUAGUGGGAACCAUCCUCACCCUGUCGACGUUAUAAUGGGAUAUAUGGGAUUAGAUGGAUUAUAUGGAUUAUAUGCGGAUUAUAUGGGGUUAUAUGGAUUAUAUUUGCGGAUUAUAUGGGAUUAUUAUGGGACGUUUACAGAUCAUAAUGAGAGCUGCCAUAAACCAGAACAUUAGUGGGAAACCAUCCUACACCCUGUGAGUUAUAUGGGAUUAUAUGGGAUUAGAUGGGAUUAUAUGGGAUUAUAUGGGAUUAUAUGGGGUUAUAUGGGAUUAUAUGGGAUUAUAUGGGACGUACAGAUCAUAAUGGAGAGCUGCCAUAACCAGAAACAUAGUGGGAACCAUUCCUUACACCCUGGAGUUAUGGGAUAUAUGGGAUUAUAUGGGUGUUAUAUGGAUUAUAUGGGAUUAUAUGGGGUUAUAUGGAAUUAAUAUUGGGAUUAUAUGGCGGUUAUAUGGAUUAUAUGGGAAUUAUAUGGGACGUUACAGAUCAUAAAUGGAGAG